AAACUGCUGAAAAGUUCCAUACUAGGACGAAACGGCCGUUCAGUGU
rfam:Schistosoma mattheei strain Denwood, Zambia genome assembly, scaffold: SMTD_scaffold0000279